AGUCAAGUGGCUUAGUGGUAAGGCGCUCGGGUAGCCAACUCGAGGGUCUAGGGUUCGAAUCCCCCACUUGACAA